ensembl:lncRNA
GUUCUAUGAAGACCUAUAAGACCUUUUAGAACUAACACCCAAAAAAGAUGUCCUUUUCAUUAUAGGAGACUGGAAUGCAAAAGUAGGAAGUCAAGAAACACCUGGAGUAACAGGCAAAUUUGGCCUUGGAGUACAGGAAUGAAGCAGGGCAAAGACUAAUAGAGUUUUGCCAAGAAAAUGCACUGGUCAUAGCAAACACCCUUUUCCGACAACCCAAGAGAAGACUACACGUGGACAUCACCAGAUGGUCAACUCCGAAAUCAGAUUGAUUAUAUUCUUUGCAGCCAAAGAUGGAGAAGCUCUAUAUAGUCAACAAAAACAAGACCAGGAGCUGACUGUGGCUCAGGUCAUGAACUCCUUAUUGCCAAAUACAGACAGAAAUUGAAGAAAGUAGGGAAAACCACUAGACUAUUCAGGUAUGACCUAAAUCAAAUCCCUUAUGAUUAUACAGUGGAAUUGAGAAAUAGAUUUAAGGGCCUAGAUCUGAUAGAUAGUGAUGAAUUAUGGACGGAAGUUCGUGACAUUGUACAGGAGACAGGGAUCAAGACCAUCGCCAUGGAAAAGAAAUGCGAAAAAGCAAAAUGGCUGUCUGGGAAUGCCUUACAAAUAGCUGUGAAAAGGACAGGCGAAAAGCAAAGGAGAAAAGGAAAGAUAUAAGCAUCUGAAUGCAGAGUUCCAAAGAAUAGCAAGAAGAGAUAAGAAAGCCUUCUUCAGUGAUCAAUGCAAAGAAAUAGAGGAAAACAACAGAAUGAGAAAGACUAGAGAUCUCUUCAAGAAAAUUAGAGAUACCAAGGGAGCAUUUUAUGCCAAGAUGGCCUCGAUAAAGGACAGAAAUGGUCUGGACCUCACAGAAGCAGAAGAUAUUAAGAAGAGGUGGCAAGAAUACACAGAAGAACUGUACAAAAAAGAUCUUCACGACCCAGAUAAUCAUGAAGGUGUGAUCACUCAUCUAGAGCCAGAUAUCCUGGAAUGUGAAGUCAAGUGGGCCUUAGGAAGCAUCACUGUGAACAAAGCUAGUGGAGGUGAUGGAAUUCCAGUUGAGCUAUUUCAAAUCUUGAAAGAUGAUACUGUGAAAGUGCUGUACUCAAUAUGCCAGCAAAUUUGGAAAACUCAGCGGUGGCCACAGGACUGGAAAAUGUCAGUUUUCUUUCCAAUUCCAAAGAAAGGCAAUGCCAAAGAAUGCUCAAACUACCGCACAAUUGCACUCAUCUCACAUGCUAGUAAAGUAAUGCUCAAAAUUCUCCAAGCCAG